CAACAGGGCUUGAUACUGCCAGACAUUAGCUGCUGGACUCUGACCAGGGUGUGUUAUUACCUGUACAGCCCAGAACACUGAAGCACAUCACUGAGAGGCUCGGGAACCAGAGGCAGGAACCGGAGCUCAGUCAGCGGGUAGACAAGAUGAUAGUUGACUCCAUUUGGAUCGGUAUUGAGUGAUUAUCUCCAAACCAAUCUGGAAUCUGCCUCAAACAUCAUUCCCACCAGGGCUUUCCAACAACCAACUGUGCAGAAAAUAAAUUCUCCAAACCUCUACAUUUGCCAGUUUGCUAACUCUGAAAUUGAUGCUUCAGUGAUUGAACCCUGACCAGGAGGACUUUUAUAUCAGAACACUGAAGCCACUUCACUGAGAGGCUCAGGAACCGGAGGCAGGAACCGGAGCUCAGUCAGUGGGGAGACAAGACGCCCAGAACACUGAAGCGACAUCACUGAGAGGCUAAUGAACUAGAGAUUGGUACCGGAGCUCUGUCAGCGGGGAGAC